rnacentral:rRNA from 1 species
UAGGGAAUCUUCUUUNCAAUGGACGGAAGUCUGACCGAGCAACGCCGCGUGAGUGAAGAAGGUUUUCGGAUCGUAAAGCUCUGUUGUAAGAGAAGAACGAGUGUGAGAGUGGAAAGUUCACACUGUGACGGUAUCUUACCAGAAAGGGACGGCUAACUACGUGCCAGCAGCCGCGGUAAUACGUAGGUCCCGAGCGUUGUCCGGAUUUAUUGGGCGUAAAGCGAGCGCAGGCGGUUAGAUAAGUCUGAAGUUAAAGGCUGUGGCUUAACCAUAGUACGCUUUGGAAACUGUUUAACUUGAGUGCAAGAGGGGAGAGUGGAAUUCCAUGUGUAGCGGUGAAAUGCGUAGAUAUAUGGAGGAACACCGGUGGCGAAAGCGGCUCUCUGGCUUGUAACUGACGCUGAGGCUCGAAAGCGUGGGGAGCAAACAGGAUUAGAUACCCUGGUAGUCCACGCCGUAAACGAUGAGUGCUAGGUGUUAGACCCUUUCCGGGGUUUAGUGCCGUAGCUAACGCAUUAAGCACUCCGCCUGGGGAGUACGACCGCAAGGUUGA